GACGAACGCUGGCGGCGUGCUUAACACAUGCAAGUCGAACGGAAAGGCCCCUUUGGGGGUACUCGAGUGGCGAACGGGUGAGUAACACGUGCGUAACCUGCCCUUGACUUCGGGAUAACUUCAGGAAACUGGGGCUAAUACCGGAUAGGAAUCCUUGCUGCAUGGUGGGGGUUGGAAAGCUUCGGCGGUUUUGGAUGGACUCGCGGCUUAUCAGCUUGUUGGUGGGGUAGUGGCUUACCAAGGCUUUGACGGGUAGCCGGCCUGAGAGGGCGACCGGCCACAUUGGGACUGAGAUACGGCCCAGACUCCUACGGGAGGCAGCAGUGGGGAAUAUUGCACAAUGGGCGGAAGCCUGAUGCAGCAACGCCGCGUGCGGGAUGACGGCCUUCGGGUUGGAAACCGCUUUCAGCAGGGGCGAAGCUUGUGGUGACGGUACCUGCAGAAGAAGCACCGGCUAACUACGUG
rnacentral:rRNA from 1 species